rnacentral:rRNA from 2 species
CCGGUGCUUAUUCUUCCGGUACCGUCAUCCCCCCACCGUAUUCGGGCGGAGGUUUUCUUUCCGGACAAAAGUGCUUUACAACCCGAAGGCCUUCUUCACACACGCGGGAUUGCUGGAUCAGGGUUGCCCCCAUUGUCCAAAAUUCCCCACUGCUGCCUCCCGUAGGAGUCUGGGCCGUGUCUCAGUCCCAGUGUGGCUGAUCGUCCUCUCAGACCAGAUACUGAUCGUCGGCUUGGUGGGCCUUUACCCCACCAACUAGCUAAUCAGACAUCGGUCGCUCCUGCUGGCGAGGGCUUG